AUUUCGAAUACCUCAAAUCUUCCCACAUAGUCUCUUUCCAUAACCCUCCAACUAACCUUCAUGCUAACUUGUGAGUGAUGUGGGAGUGUGUUUAGUAGUGAAUGCUGAUACCAGCAUGGUCGGAAGAGAGCAGAGAGAUGUCAUUGAUUCUUGUUCAUCCCUUCUCUCUGCAACUCUUUUCAUGAGCCAAUGGGAGCGAGUGUAUGUUUAUCACAGUCCCUGUGUCAGGGAUGCAAACUCGUCACUUUUGACGAUAUUUGCCGUUUUGAGCUCAAAAUAGGUAAUCCACGUGAAUCGUGUAAAUCCAUAAAAAUAACUUUUGUGGUGGCUGAACUACAAAAGAGAGGCACGAACUGAUCUUCUCCCUGUGUGAUCACCACCAGAGAUACUGGAUAUAGUGAUGGGAUGCUUGUGUCUCCGCCCUUAACAAUGGGAUUCGUUGUCCACAGAGCGGAACGGCGGGCUGUCAAGCUCCCGCCUGUUCCGUUCUUUUUAGGGAGGGAUAAUUCACGGGCUGCUGCGUUGUCACAAUGGGAACUCUUUCUAGAGCACCUGGUUAAAUUGUGCAUAACAGUAGGGUGUUAGGUGACACGACAAACAAUGAACGCUAUACUAUAAUAAUACAUUUAAAAAACACAGGCUAAUCAAAUCCAUUUAAACUAAAUGUCAAUAAUGUGAUCAUCAAAAUGCAUAGUAAAUCAUUUCAGAACACGAACAUGUUUUCAGUCUAAAUGGUUAAUGGAGUGAGAAAUAUGUGAUUAUUGUAAAAGUUUGCGAGUGCAUAAUUUACAAUCAUCCUGAAUUAAAAUAUGGAAUCAUUUUUGCUAUAUGCUAUGCUAUUGCUAUUUUCCUUGAUGUCUGUUACUACAUUACACAAGCUCAUGUUCUGAACACGUCAAAUUGGGGGAAUUACUCAUCCCUUUUUACAUCAGACUGGUGGUGAUUAAAACAACUCAAUCUAUUUGUGGGCGGCAGGGUAGCCUAGUGGUUAGAGCGUUGGACUAGUAACCGAAAGGCUGCAAGUUCAAAUCACCGAGCUGACAAGGUACAAAUCUGUCAUUCUGCCCCUGAACAUCCACUGGAAAAUAGCAUAUAGAAAAUAAUUUAAUAUGUCAAAAAUUAUUCCAGCCAGGCCGUCAUUGAAAAUAAGAAUUUGUUCUUAACUGACUUGCCUAGUUAAAUAAAGGUUUAUAAAAAAAUAAAAUGUUGUGUGCUCUUGUAUGAUUGUGUGUGGGAGGGGGUACACUGUAUGCUACUGAUUUUAUAUUGACCUUAAUCCCCCAAAACCCAAAUAACUGCCAGGUGUGUGUUUGAAGAGGGUGGUGGGGUGUCUGUGUUUACUUCUGUAUCUAUGCCACUGAUAUGUCUGUAUUUUAUUUUGUGGUGCGCAAUGUGCCCCACUAAACUAAUGCACUGCCAGGGAUAGCUGUCACUUUGGUGUGUGGGAAGAAGGAGAUGACACACUGCAGCAGUGCUAGUAUGGAGGUAGAUAGUAUGGUGUGUAGGGGAAGUCAGGAUUUUGCUAGUGUGUUUUGAUUUAUCUAUUGAAAGGCCAUGUAAGGUUAGUGUUGACUAAUGGCAUAAUGCUGGUGAGCCGGGCACUAUCAGGUGAUUGUCCCAUGGUCCUGAGUUUACAUAUCAGCAAAGGUACUGUAUCAUGUUGUUUUUGAGAAACUUGGUGGAUCACAGGUUGACAGGCUACCAGGUCCAACGCUCUGUAAGUGGGCUUACGUGGUUUUGUAGGCACAUGUUUCAUUGCAACGUGGUGAAGAUCUGGUUGGAGAGCUGCACUGCUCUCUGCUUCCCAUGUUGAAGGAGUACGUUAUGGUUUCCCAGGUGCGUAUCUUCACAUUUUAAGUGAAUUCUAAAUUCUUAUUGGAUAAGAAAAAUGAUAUACUAUGCCUACUCUCUGGGUCUCAUCAGUUGGAUGGACAUAUAAACAGAGUAUUUGCCCUUAACUGCAAACCAUCUCUCUGUGUGGUCAUAAAAUAGUAAAAUUUUCCUUUAACAUGCCAUAAUUAAUUCACAGGGCAGCCAAACCAUUGUCCACAAGCAGCUUGAAGUGAUCACCAUCUUCAUGGCAUGCUUUCUCAAGGCUGAGCAUCACCACACCCAAGAAGCUCAUGGAGAUGAACUUCAUUGACAAGAUGCUGCCUUCCAGAGAAUUGUAUGAUGGAUCAGUGUCUGAGAAACCUAAGGCAGAACAUCCAGGACACCCUAUUGUGCAAAAGUUUCUUAACGUGGUGAAGACUGUUAUGACAACUGCAGCCUACAUGCAGAAGAAAAUGCCCCUGGACAGCAUGACCCUGCAAUUGCUCUCUGCACACGACCCAGUGGUGAGAGGCCAUUCACAGACUGGCAUCCUGUUGAAGCGGCUUGCUAGGAUGAUGGACCACCCAGUUCCACCCGAUUUUCAGCUUCCACUGGAAGUCGUGAAGUUUAAUGUGGAUUCUACCCUUCCCCCUUACAAGGAUGGUGAGGACAACAUGGUCAAGUGGUGGGGCCUGAACCAGAUUUUACUAGUGUCUCCCUCAAUCUUCCAUGGUCCUAUUGUGGAGUCUUCGUUUAAUGUGAUGGGAGACAUCACAGCUCAAAA